UAGUGAUGGCGUUGGUCGCAAUCGGGGACUCGACCCCCGCCGACUCUUGAGCACCCUGCGUGAGGCUGGCUUCGGCACCAAGCGGCAGCGGGAACUCCCGGCUCAU
rnacentral:SRP_RNA from 12 species